rnacentral:lncRNA from 1 species
CCGCAAAUUGCAGGGGAAUCACCACAAAGCAGCUUCCAUUAAUGAAAAUUAACGGCAAAAUUGGGAAUAACAGAAGUAUAUAAUUUGAUAUAAUCAAAAUCUAGAAAUGGUUCCGAUUUAAAGCAGCGACAGCAGCAACAUGAUAAAGGUAAAGAGCAUGAAUGAAAAGCAAAACUGAAAGUGAAAUUCAGCGGUUUUGUGAUAACAAAUGGAUCAGUACCUCCUGGUGAAGGGGAAGUUUUGUUGGACAGGGACAGGGUCAACCUGGGUGAUGCCGCUGAUUUCGUUGAGUCCGAGGGAGUGGAGCAUAUCCAUGGUUUCCUUGUCCACCUCGAUGUGCUCGGUGUUGAUGGCGGAGAUUUCGGGAACGAAGUCCAUGCGUCGCUCCCUCUCCUCCUCCUGCAGCUUGAGCGAGAUGCCGCGAACAGAACCCUUCUGGAUCCGUUUCAUGAGAUGUGUUGAGAAACCUGCGAUCUUGUUCCGCAGCCUCUUCGAGGGGACGAUCGCCACUUCUUCUAGAAGCUUCUUGUUCGUGUGAAAAUCCAGCGUCAUCCUCGAAUAGUAACGCUCGAUCACUUGGCGUGAAGAUUUCUUCACCGUCUUAGUCCUCACGCGCCCCAUGCUUCUUCUUCUUCUUUCUUCUUCUUCUUCCUCUCUGCGGCUUCUCUUCUCUUCUCUUGCAGUGUUACUUCAAAUUUAGGUUUACAUAUUUUAUCCCAAACUUGGGCUUUCUUACUUUGGGCUUCAACUUUUCAAAAAAUAUAUACAUUACUUUGUUUCUUCCUGUACCCCUUUUCUAUUCUUAUGUCACUCUCAUAAUUUAAAAAUAUAUAGGUUUUUUUUUCCUAUUUGUUUUUUGGAUUAAACUUUUUGAAUAAUACAAUUGAUGGUUAGAAGGUUAAUAAAUCUAAAUUUGUUAUAAAAUAAGGGUAUAUUUUCGUUAUAAAUUUUGGAAUAGUAGAUUUGGAAUUAUUUUUUCAUUUAGAUAACUUAAAUAAAUAUUUUUUUUACUUUUGUAACUUGGAUCAUGCAUACAUAGUUAACUCAAGUAAAAAUAGUUAAAUCAAUUUGACAGGUGAAUGUAAAUAAUAAUAUUGAAUCGUUUAAAUCAUUUUAACGCAAAUAUUAUAUGUAAUAAAUAGAAAUUAAAAAUAAGAAUUUAUACAAAUCAUAAUUAGAAGUAAGAAAUGAGCAUUAUAUUAGAAAGAACAAUUGAAAAAGAAAAGAAACUCAGAAUGAUGAACUCCAAAUAUUUACACUAGAAUAUAUUUUUUUUAUCAGAUAAUCUAUAAUAAAAUAUGAGAAUGUGAAAUAAAGGAUUAAUUGCAAAUAGAAAUAGUUAAUUUUAAUAAUAAUGUAUGAUACUUGUUUUGUAUAUGAGUUCAUUUGAAAUAUAAUGUUUUAUUUAUGUAACAUGACAUUAACACUAUUAAAAUACAAACAAAAAAUUAAAAACUGCUUCACAAAAAAAACAGUGACUAUGAAAAUGGUUCGAUUUGAUAUUUUUAAACUAAUUGGGGUCACACUAUUAAAUUGCAAAUUCUAGUAGUUUUUCUUUACGAAUAGUGGUGAUUAAAAGUUGUAACAAUUGUUAUCAUUUUGAAAAUAUAAAAUCACAUUAGCAAAACACAAAUUUAAAAAUAGAUGGAAAAUAAUACGAAUUCCCAGUACGUUUAUUCUUGCUUUUAAAAAUAAUUUUCAAAUACUCAUACAGAAAAAAAAAAUAUACAUCUUUUUUUAUUGGUUUUUAUAUAAAAUUUUUAAAAAGGGAUAAAAAAAGAACAAUUAUUAACUUAUGAUUAGCUUUUACAUUAUUAUUGAAAAGUGUAUUAUAUUAUUCCUUUUAGCAAAGAUUAAUUUUAAAUAUAUUUUCGGUAGUAUUAAUUAAUAUUGAGUUAUAAACAUAAUUUAUUUAUACUUAAAAGCUUUAAUUAUAAUUUUUUUUUUGGAUUAAAAUUAUGAAUAAAUUCAUUCUCUUAAAUAGGAUUCUUCUUCUAAUUUAGUUUACUUGUAUCUUAACUAAUUUUACUGGUAAUAUUGUAUUUGUAGUCAUAGUGGACGGACGGUCUAGUGGUUAAAUAGGGUAAAUGGUCAAGUAACUUAAGAAAGCAAAUCAGUAACAUCACGUGUAAUUAAGAUGAAGGUGUAAAAAGAGUAUGGUGUGAAUAUUUUAAACUAGACAAUUUGAAGGAAGUUUUUACUACACCAAUGCAUGAGUUUGAUAGGAGCGCCUACUGAUGUGACUGAGCCUUUGAUAAAUCAAGUUCAAGUGGCUUUUCUGAAUUACAAUGCAAAAAAUUGAGUAAAAAAAUAUUUAAUAAAAUCUACAAUAUCUCAUAAACAGAUUGAGAAACAUAUCAGUUGACAAAAUAAGAAGAAACAAAAUUGCAACAAAACUAGAAACAAAAUAUAAAAAUUCUAGAGAGUUGGAAACUAAGAAUUCAUCAAUAAUAUUUGAACCACGAUCAAAUUCCGAAAUCCAUGGAGCAAAGAAACUUAUAAUUACAGAUGUGGGAGGUAAUUCUCAUAUUGGAGCGUCAACUAUUCCGCCUACCAUUGUUGGAAUUAAUUCUGAUCAUAUUGAAAAUCAGGUUGUUUCAAAAUUUUGGGCUGACUCUACUGAGAUGGAGGAGGAUGAUAGUGAUAAUGGGGAAGAAACAGUUCGCACUAAAAGAAAACCAGGGAGACCACCUAAGGGGACUGGUAAAUCCAGGAAAACUGCUAAGGCAGUUCUCUCUACAACGUCGCAAUGAAGGUCUCUUCUUUUUUUUGGAAUGUCAGAGGAUUGGGAAACCACAAAACUGUGGAGAUGUUGCUUAGUUUACUUAAGCUACAUAAACCUCUCCUGGUUUUUCUUGCUGAACCCAUGAUGUCGUACACUACUGCUUUUGACGUCCUUUUCAAAUCUGUCAAUAUGCAUUUGGUGGCUACAUCUCCUAUUGUUAAUAAAGUUGCUAAGCUUUGGUGUUUGUCAGUUCCUAAUCUUGUCCAAAAUUUCUUGGUUAAUGAUCAAUUUAUCUCUGUAACUUGUCUUUGGCAGGAUAAAAGUUUUAGCUUUGCAGGUGUUUAUGGUGCUAACACAUACUUGUCUAGACGAUUUUUGUGGAGGGAUCUUAGUUUCUUCACAGGGCCUUGGUGUAUUCUGGGAGAUUUUAAUGUUGUGCUCUCGGCGGAUGACUAUAAAGGGGGAGUGGCUCCUAAUCAGGUUUCUUGUAAUGAAUUCCUGGAUUGGAUUAAUACUAAUGAUCUUUCUUGUAUGCCUUUUACUGGAUCUUGUUAUACUUGGUGUAACGGAAGGAGAGGGUGGCAUANNNNNNNNNNNNNNNNNNNNNNNNNNNNNNNNNNNNNNNNNNNNNNNNNNNNNNNNNNNNNNNNNNNNNNNNNNNNNNNNNNNNNNNNNNNNNNNNNNNNNNNNNNNNNNNNNNNNNNNNNNNNNNNNNNNNNNNNNNNNNNNNNNNNNNNNNNNNNNNNNNNNNNNNNNNNNNNNNNNNNNNNNNNNNNNNNNNNNNNNNNNNNNNNNNNNNNNNNNNNNNNNNNNNNNNNNNNNNNNNNNNNNNNNNNNNNNNNNNNNNNNNNNNNNNNNNNNNNNNNNNNNNNNNNNNNNNNNNNNNNNNNNNNNNNNNNNNNNNNNNNNNNNNNNNNNNNNNNNNNNNNNNNNNNNNNNNNNNNNNNNNNNNNNNNNNNNNNNNNNNNNNNNNNNNNNNNNNNNNNNNNNNNNNNNNNNNNNNNNNNNNNNNNNNNNNNNNNNNNNNNNNNNNNNNNNNNNNNNNNNNNNNNNNNNNNNNNNNNNNNNNNNNNNNNNNNNNNNNNNNNNNNNNNNNNNNNNNNNNNNNNNNUCCAUGCUGUGGUCAUGAGCAGGACUUCAUCAAUAGUGGGAUUCAUCGUCUACGGAUUGAUAAUGAGGUUACGGAGGAUCCUAAAAUCAUUAAGGAUCAUAUUUUGGACUUUUAUAAAAAUCUUUAUGCUGAGUCUAUUUCUAAUGUUCUGAAUGCUGAUAAUAUGGAAGAUUUUAUUGGUACUUAUAUUCCUCCUAUGGUUUCCUCUGAGGAGAAUAUGAUGUUGAUUAAAUGUCCUGAUUUUUCUGAAAUCAAGAAUGCGGUUUUUCAUCUUAACGGUAAUAGUGCUCCUGGUCCUGAUGGUUUUGGUGGUGUUUUCUAUCAUUCUUGCUGGGAAAUUAUUGGGACAGAUGUUUGUAAUGCUGUUCAACAAUUUUUUAAACAAAAUUGGGUUCUCCUUGGAAUGAACAGUAAUGUGGUAUCUCUUAUUCCUAAGAUUCAGGGUGCUGAUUCCAUUAAAGAUUACAGGCCAAUUGCUGUUGCUAAUUUCAAAUUUAAAAUUAUUUCCAAGAUACUGGCGGAUAGGCUUGCUCUUGUGGCUGCUAGAAUCAUUUCUCCUAAUCAAUAUGGGUUUGUGCAGGGUAGACAGAUUCAGGAUUGCAUUGGUAUUGCUUCUGAGGCUAUUAAUAUGCUUUCUAAAAAGGUUAGAGGAGGUAAUGUGGCUUACAAAGUUGAUAUUCAUAAAGCUUUUGACACUCUGAGUUGGAAGUUCUUAUUAUUAGUUUUGAAACGCUUUGGUUUUCACCCCUCGUUUGUCAGUUGGAUUAGUACAAUUCUCCGUUCAGCUAUGCUUUCUAUCAGAAUAAGUGGUAGUUUGGUGGGUUUUUUUCCCUGCAGUCGAGGUGUAAGACAAGGUGAUCCAUUGUCUCCUUUACUUUUUUGUCUUGCAGAGGAAGUUCUUAGUAGAGGUAUUUCUAAGCUUGUGAAUGAUAAGAAGAUUUUAAAUAUGGCUAGUCCGAAAGGUUAUCUCACUCCCUCUCAUAUUUUGUAUGCUGAUGACAUUUUUAUUUUCUGUAGGGGGGAUAUUAAGUCUCUUCGAAAUUUGAGUACUUUUCUUAAAACAUAUGGUGAUUUUUCUGGUCAAUAUAUUAAUAACUCUAAAAGUAGUUUCUUCACCAUGGAUAAUUCUCCAAGAUUUGUCACCAAAAUUCAAAAUAUUCUUUCUUGUAGUCAUGGUUGUUUGCCUUUCAAUUAUUUAGGAGUGCCUAUCUUUGUUGGUGCUCCAAAGUGUCGAUUUCUUCAACCUUUGACGAUAAAGUCAAAUUGAAGCUAGCAUCUGGAAAGNNNNNNNNNNNNNNNNNNNNNNNNNNNNNNNNNNNNNNNNNNNNNNNNNNNNNNNNNNNNNNNNNNNNNNNNNNNNNNNNNNNNNNNNNNNNNNNNNNNNGGGAAAUGCAUGUGCUGAUAAGUUGGCUAAUUUAGGGUUCAUUCAUAGACAAUCAUUUCAUUGGUAUAAUAGACUUCCAUCUAGUCUGUUCUUAGAAUUCUUUAUGAAUAGGUAUAGUCUACCUAUGUUUCGUUUUUGUUAACAUGUGGGUUUUGGUCUAGUCCCCCCAUAUUUUUGUAUUUUCUUUCUUUUUUCUUUUUUUAAUAAUACUUUUUUCAUGUGAUGGCAGAUGAUUGUUGUUACUUGAGAUGUCAGCCUAGCCGAGAUGUCAAGUUGCAUAGUGAUGCCUAACAUGAAAAAUUUUCAUUAAAAAAAAAAAAUCACAAAUCGUAUUAAUUCCCACUCUGGGAUAAGUUCAUAAAAUAGAGUCUUAGUUUUUUCUUUGUUUUCUUAUUGUCUUUUUUGUAAUUCUUUCAUUUUUCUUCCGUAUGGAAGGUUAAACUCUAUUAGUGUAAUUCUCUUAUAAUUUCACUAUUAAUUUUGAGGUUAUUGUUCAAUAAAGUUUUGUUUUAAAUAUUUUUUACCAAAUUAUACUAGACGAUAUGAUCUUUUUGAAUUUUGGUUUCUGUUAAGGAAUUGUGUUUUCAUGCUUGUUGAGUAUUUGGUUCUUUUCUUUAAUUGGAGUUCUUACUUAGUUCACUUAAUUCUAAUCAAUCUCUUGUUUGCUUAAUUUAAGAGGUAGAAGAUAAACAUUUCACGAGCAGACACUUAGAGACAAGUGAGAUACUGAAUAUGUCAAUAGACACUUAUUCUGUUGAUAAGAUUCUAUAGAAUUUGAUUGAGACUAGUUUGAUUAAGUUCAACUUUGUUUGAGAAUUGAAAGAAUCAUCAUCUUAUGUUAACCGAUGAAAGAUUCAAUGCUGAAAGAAAUUCCUAAUCAACCUGUUUUCUCUAUCAGUUUAUCCCGUCUUUUUACAUUAUCUGCUAAACAAUCUCAACAUUUUUUUCAAUUUACUGUUUUUGAUAACUUUUAAUGAUUGCAGAUAAAUUUUGAACAUUGAUUAAUUGAAUUCACUAUUGAAUUAAUUGACAAACUACUUGGAGUCAACUAAUUCUAUCUAUUAUAUCAUCUUUUAAUAUUAAACAAUCUAGCAUUGUGUUAGACAAUCUAUACUGGAAUUAUUUUUAUUUUGAUUGUAAAGGGACAUCCAUCAAAUUUGGCAUUGUUGUCGAGAAAUUCAGUUUGAAUUUGGUCCUCAAUUUUCCAAUUCACCUACAAUUUUUCUACAUUUCCUUAUUUAUCUGCAUAAUUUUUAAUUUUCUUUUUUUUUAUGUUUUACAUUCUACUUGUACAGAGCUUUUUCAAUUUUUGCAUUAAUCACAAUAUUAUAAAAAAAAAUAGUCUUUAAUAUAUACUCAUUCUUUAGGAACGUCUAAUAGGUUAUGAUAUGUUUAUACAAAUGUGUGUUUAUCUAGAGCAUGACUAGAACAAAUCCAGGUGAAUUACAUUUAUUUGAUCCAUAAAUUAAAUUUGCAUACCAUAGGCUAGCUAGACAACUUAGUAUACUUAAUCUUUUUAUUGAUAGACAAUAUAGCUAUAGAGCAUAUAAUUGUUUUUCAUCACCUAUUUCUACUUAUUAUGGAAUAGAAACUGAUAUUAUGGCUAAAAGAAAAUUGAGAGAACUUAUUGCACUAGAAGUUUCCAUUCAGACCUUAUGUAUUCAAUAUCCUGAUUCAAAUGUGCAAUGUGAAUUAAAAUUUGGUUUAAUACAUUUAUUGCCUAAGUUUCAUGGUCUAGUAAGUGAAAACAUACAUAAGCACCUCAAGGAAUUUCAUAUCGUAUGCACCACCAUGAGACUGUCUAGAGUCCUAAAAGAACACAUUAAGAUGAAGGAAUUUCCCUUCUCUUUGCAUGACACAACAAAAGACUAGUUCUACUAACUUACACUAGGAUCCGUCACUGGGAAAAUUUGAAAAGAACACUCUUGGAAAAAAAAUUCCCUACGUCUAAAGUGACUGGGAUUCGGAAGAAGAUAUGUGGGAUAAGGAAAUUGGAUAGGUGAAACCUAUAUAAGUAUUAGGAAAGAUUCAAGAGACUCUGUACAAGUUGCUCAUACCACCAAAUUCUUGAGAAAUUGCCAAUCCAGUACUUUUAUGAAGGACUAACAAUAAUGGAUAGGUAAAUGAUAGAAACUACUAGUGGAUGAACUUUAUUGUAUAAGAUUCCAGCUACAACUAGACAAUUAAUUCAGAACAUGGCUUCAAAAAUAGUUCAACAUUAGAAGUAACUUUGCAAUAGUAACUAAAGGGGUCCAUGAGACGGGGACUAUGUGUGUUGAUCACUCAAAGUUGGAAACGAAGCUAAAUUAUAUAGUGUCUAUGGUAAAACAACUAGUCAUGUCUCAAACAAUUGCUAAGGUAUGUGGUAUUUGUACUUUUAAUAAUCAUUAUAGCUUAAUGAAGGAGUAGUACUUAGUGCCCUCAAGCAUAGCCUACCAACAUUAACAAUAAUAGUAUAAUGUCCACUGGAUUUCAUUUUAACAGUAGAUUGUCUAAUUGAUGUGACUUGAUUUUAGAAUUGCAUAUGGUAUAGGUUUCACUUUGUUUAUGAUUUUUGAAUUAAGUAGAAUAUGGUGAUGAGCUCAAAGAAGAUUGUCAUUGGACACGAACUUAACCAAGUGGUUAAGUAAGUGUAAAGGUUAUCUUCUAAAGAGCAAAAGAGAAAACACAAUAUAAGGUGAAGAUGAUGAUGAUUGCGGAAUUAAAGAGCAUAAGAUAGAAAUGACCAAAUGUGAAAAGAGAAAUAAAGAACAUGAAUGGAAAGACAAGGCGUAAAUGAAGGAAGGAAAAAGAGAAAGAGUGAAAGAAGCUUAUGGAGGAGAUGACUAUGGAGGGGUCACACCACUUGGAAUGGUGGAUGGUUCCAAGAUGGGUGGUGAAGAGCCUCCACUUGAGGUGCACUACACUUAAGAUAAGACUUAAAUUCUAGGAAACUCGGCUUACUAAACACUCUGACAUAGUUUCUUUUCUAUUCAAAAUUUAAUGUGUCAUUUACAAGAGGGAAGGAACCCUAUUUAUAGAUAUGAGUGCCUUAGAGAGGAAGACAUGAAGGGUAGGGGUGUAAAUGACUACAAGCUUCUAGAAACUAGGUUAAAUGUGAGCACAUGGGGGAGUCUUCUAGAAUCUAGGUCAAAGGUGAGCACAUGGGUGAGUUUCUAGAAGCUAGGUUAAAAUGAGCUUUGGCACAAGUCCAAUUUACUAAGUACACCCUUUUCUAGCUUAAUUUUCUAAUUGAAGCUCAAAGUGAGCCCAAUUUAUUUACUUAACUUGUCUUGUAAGAAGACUACAAGGAAGAAUAGUUGAUAUUUUGGUUCAUGUUCGGUUCUCCUUCUGUUCAGAUUUGGUGGGCCUUGUCUUGUAUGUUGAGAUGACUGACCUAGUUGUGAAGAAUUUGUGGUGUCCUUAGCCAUUUGUUUGUCGAGUUGGUUUGUAUCACUAAUCAACAACAAUAAUAUAACCAUGAUCUGUCAUCCAAUAAAUACAACCCAGGUUGGAGGAAUCAUCCUAAUUUAAGUUGGGGCAAUAACUUAUCACAACAAUAGAAAUAAGCUCACGUGGCAUAUAAAUAAAAUGUUAUUAAACCUCCUUAAAAUAUAGCCUUUGCAUUUACGCCAACAAUUGCAACCACUGAUGUUAUAUCAUCCAAGAAUGGACUUUCCCUAGAAGACAUGAUGAAGUAGAAGGUUGAGCACAACAUGAAUUUCCAUUAGAGAAUGAAGAUAACCAUUUAGAACCUCAAAAAUCAUAUUGGUUAAAUUGCCACUAGUGUAAACUAGAUGGAAUCUCAAGGGACCAACAAGUUGUCUUCCCAGACAGUUAUCAACCUAAAAAAUAUUAGUGUAAUUAUGUUGAGAUUAUGGAAGAAUAUGUAAGAAUCACAACAAGUUGAGACUUAUAGCGCUAGACGAUAUGGCCAAACGGUCUAGUGAGUCUAAUACAACUGUAGAGGAACCUGAACAAAAAAGAGUUAUGUCUACUCCUCAGAGAAGUUCAACUUCUCUUUCAUUCUCUAAAAUAGUGAAUUCCAUAUCAUAACUCAAAUUUUGCUAAUAAAAAUUAGAACUCUGACAAUAGAGACCAACCAUCUACUAGUAAAAAAGAACCGUCUAUCAGUUUGGAACCCUCAUCUUUUUCCAUAGAGGUUUAAAUUAAUAAAGAGAUUUUGGAAACCUUCAGGAAGGUAAAGGUAAACAUUCCUCUACUGGACUAUAUUAAAUAAAUCCCAAAGUAUGCCAAAUAUUUAAAGGAUCUAUACACAUAUAGAUGUGUCUAAAAGGUAAUGAGAAAGUUAACAUGACCAAGAAUGUAUUUGCACUUAUUCUGAAAUGUAGGGCUGAAAUUCCAUAAAAAUGAAAAGAUCCAGGAGCAUUCAUUAUUCCUUGCAUCAUAGCAAUAACACAUUUGAACACAUUAUACUUGAUUUAGAAGCAUCUAUCAAUAUUAUGCCUUUAUUUGUUUUCACUUCCUUCUUUCUUGACCUUUUGGAAACUACAUGUGUUGAAAUCUGGUCAAUAGGAACAUAGUCCAUCCUACAAGACUUAUAUAUUAUGUGUCCAACCUAGCAUGUCACACAAUAGCAAUACACAAAGUUCACUUUCUCCUCUGUCCAUCUCUCAUUAUUCCUCCUUCAUCCUUAUUUCUCCUGUUGCAAGAUCCACUUACAAUAUAAUUCCACAUCUACUUUUGUCCUGUUUUUCAUAUCUAUUCUCCCAGGUACUAAAUUGCUACCCUCCAAUUAGGUAUUGCCUUUCUUUAUAUCUCUAUACGCUAGUUGUGCGAAUAGAUAAGUUUAUGUCAUUGGUAUGUUAAUACUCAGUUAUCCUAAGCCAUUAGUGGAUGUUUCUAAAUUUUUAUUUUGUUUCUCUUUUAUACCUUAUAGUCUACGUAACAACCCUUAUGACAAUACUUUCUCUCACUCUAAUGCAUCACUAAACUCCGAUAAAUAUAUAUAUAUUUUUUCAAUGACCGAUUAUAUUUUUGACAUAUAACUUGGAUACUUUUGCCUAGUCAUGUCCCUUUAUAUGUCAUCUCUUCAUAGAUUUUAUGUGAUGUACAUGAAUGUACCAAUCGAAGUAUGUGAAACUCGUCUUCAAAAAUUUGUGUUUUAUCCAUGUUCACACCCUCAUCUAUUGGUUACUAAACACAUUUUUCCUAUCAACCUUCUCAUUUCUACAUACAACAUUAUUCUUUUGAUCUCAUAGACUCCAAAUGACAGCUACCCACAUCCUUUUCCAUGUCAUAUUUCUUCUACCAUUAAGCUCAAAUAGAUAACAUUGUUGAAAGUUUUCUAUAGCUUGAUUAUGAUGCACUUACCCCUACACAUUUAUCACACAUGUUCCACUACCUAAUAACCACGUUACAGCCAAAGAACAAAUGACUAAUUGUUUCCUCCAUCUCUUCACACAUUGCACAUUGCUAAUUUGUUAUAUGAUUUAAGUUUACCCUAGUAACCACAACAUUUAGCAUUUCCCUCUAUGUAAAAGCUUGUGUUGAAGGCAGAGCAUUUACCUUCUGGAACAUAAUGAAUAAUCCUAUUCAUCCCCACUGUUAUUGCUCUACAGCCUUAGAUAAGCUAACUUUACCUUGUAUAAUUCAUCCUUUUCCUCUAUCCACACUCAAGUAUCCUCAUUUUCCCUUCCUAAAGAAUUCCUUUAUACCUUCUAUGAAAAAGUUAAUUCAUUCAAGUUAGUUGUUGGUUUCUUGUAUAAACUAUCGGCGAAUGAUCCAAAUUGUAGCAUUGUCACCAAGUGAUGCAUGGCCACCUCGAGACUCAAAUUCUGGAUAUUCAAAGAUAACUUACUGAACCUUUUUAUGAAAGUUUGAAGUGACUCACCUUUUUCUUGUCGUAUAUUGACGAGUGCAAUGGAUGUUAGAUGAUGUGGUCGACUGAUUGUGAAUUGAGUGUCAAACAUGGAUAAAAGUGUUAUAAAGCAAUCCACCAAGCAAUGGGGAAGCGUGGUAAACCAAUUGAGUGCCCAUCCUUUUACUGAGGUCGAGAAUACUCGGCACGACACCGAGUUGCCAGAUGUAUAAAGACUCAUUUGAGUUUUAUACACAUCCAUGUGCUUGUCCAAAUAUGUGGUUCUAUCAUUUAGAUCAAUGUUCAGCCAUUUUCAAUUAGGAGGAAGUUGUGCUUCCAUGAUCUAAUCAGAGAAGGGAUAUCCCUUAGGUUUUUCUUAAAAAACAAGAGUGCGUUCUGAUUGAUAGUGUCUAGAGGAUUGAUGAGUCUGAGUUCGAAUAAUGGUAGUCUUCUGAUUUUGUGUAUCCUCGGAUUUUUUCGGGGAGGCUUGUCUUCCACCUUCCGGAUCCAACCCUUGAGGCCCUGGUCCGGGUGGUGGUUUUAUCACUUUUGGGUCUGGCUUUCGUUGCCCUGGUCCGAGUGCGAUCCCAGCUAAUUGUUGCUUCAUUUGAUCGUUUUGCUCCUACAGGAUUCGUAUUUCCUCCUCAUUCUUCUAAUAGAGGGUUUGUAUCUCUUCCCUAUUCUUCUGGCGCAUUUUUGCCAUCUCUUUUUGUAAGGUUUGGAGCAUAACUAUUUGGUUGGCCUUGUCAUUUUCUCACUUUCCAUUUGCCUUGUCGAAACCAUUUGUGGCUUUUUAAGUCUAUCUCGGCAUCAUGGUGGGUGUAUAGGGCCUAGAUAGUACCUGCUACUGGCUUGAACAUUUGUCCCUUGUCCUUCGGUCGCUCCUCUUUCUCCUUCUUGUACUCGCUCUUUGGUACUCAGUCGGGAAAAAACCUGCAAAAGGUUCUCUGACGAUCAAGUAAGUGUUAUGUAUAAGAGUGAGUGAUAUAUUGAUAAAAACGUAAAAUAAUUAGACCUAUUUAUAUUGCUAAUAGUCGUAUCUAAUAUGCAUCUUUAAUAAAAUAGUAUUACUUGAUUUAUCGUUAUUUAUCAAAUUUAUAACAUAUUACCUUAAUUAUUGCAUAUCUUUUUACUCUCUAUUAAUGUACCAAUUUGUCUGGUUGGUUAGCUACUGACUUACUCAGCUCCGACCUAUACACUUUUAAUUAUUAAAUAAAUCACAUCACUAUAUUCAAUUUUCUUUAUAUAACUUUUGUGCAACUAUUGUUACGUAAAUUUAUUAUUAUAAUUUAGCAUAUAUACAAAACUAAUUUUAUAUUAAAAAAUAUUCAAUUUCAAUUGUGAAUUAUCUUUCAAAUUCACAUUUCAAAAUUAUAAUUUUAAUACUUUUCCUACUCUACGGUUAUUAGACUGUUCAAACCACGAUCAUUGAUUCACUCAUUGGCGAUAAUCAACCACUAAAAUACCUCCUGGAAUCUCGACAACACUCACGGAACAAUUCUAUUGAGAUUCUAGCUAGGCUCACAAUUUAUCUUCAAAAUUUCACUAUUUCUUUUCAUCAGUUUCUCACACGAAACAAUCCUACAAUUAUUUCUCAUUUUUAAUUUUUGUCACCACUUUUAUCAUAAUAAAUAUUUAUUUUUAAUAAUCAUUUUAAAUAUUUUUACUUUUCUAACGUAUUUAAAUAUCUUGAAAAACUCCAUUAAUUUUUUUUCAAGAUCUACAAAAUUAUUUAUUACCAUAAAAAAUGAAUAAAUAAUAAUAUUUUAUUUUAAAUUGUUUAAAUACCAAAAAUAAUAUUUAUUUUAUUUAAACCAUUAUAUUUAUUUUUAAACGCAUAAUUCCAAAAUUAUGAUUAUAUUUCCUAUUAUCAAUAUUUUCAGCUUUUAAAAACUAACAAUCACAAACUGAACUCUAAACAAUAUUUUUAAACCAAAUUUUAUUUAUCCUUAAAUAAUUAUCCCUCCUCUCAAACCAAUUAAAAUUGAUUCUCUAUUCUCAAUUAACUAUUUCGGUUAACUUUUCUCUAAUAUUUUUUUCAUUUUUUUUUCUUUCGUCCCUUUAAAACAAAAAAAAAAACAUCAGAUUCGUCCCCACAAAAACCAAAUUCUCGGGAUUCAAGAAUCGAAUUCGCAAAAUGAAGAGUAAAUCAAUUCAUUUCGGGAAAAAAAGGAGAUUUGUCCAUUUGGAAGAUUUUUUUUAUAAAGAUAUUGAUGUGGAUAUUCCUGCGUAAAAUGUAUUUUCAUAUUAAAUAUUAAAUACCUUGCAACUACCCUGUAAUGCUUGUGCUACUUUCUGAAGUAAGAACUAAAACAAACGAAUCAGAUUUUGGAACUAAAAUUAUAGUUUAUAACACGUUUUCAGCAUUAUUCUGGUUGAGAAAUUUGUAAAAAUGGACCAAUAUUCCAUUAAGCAAGCUCUAACACAAGUGCCCAAAUCCUAAUCGUGUUCAUGCUAGAAUUUCCAAUGAUUCAUUUGGGGUACAGAAAAAGGGUUCAUGAAAUUAGGUUUCAUCCACAGGGUCCUCUUAAACUGAGAAAAUUAUUCAAAUUUCCCACGAAAUUACGAGAAACUUGUUGGUUGGGUACUGGAGUGAGCUGAUGAAGUUUUUCUUGACCAUAAUUUAAGCGAUCAAAUGCUGGUUUUAAGAACUAAAACCUAAACCCUAAACUACGGAUCAAAAUCCAAUUAUCGAAAGCAACUAGGGUUAGGGUUUACCCCCAUUCCCCGCAAAUUGCAGGGGAAUCACCACAAAGCAGCUUCCAUUAAUGAAAAUUAACGGCAAAAUUGGGAAUAACAGAAGUAUAUAAUUUGAUAUAAUCAAAAUCUAGAAAUGGUUCCGAUUUAAAGCAGCGACAGCAGCAACAUGAUAAAGGUAAAGAGCAUGAAUGAAAAGCAAAACUGAAAGUGAAAUUGGGAGGUUUUGUGAUGACAGAUGAUGGAUCAGUACCUCCUGGUGAAGGGGAAGUUUUGUUGGACAGGGACAGGGUCAACCUGGGUGAUGCCGCUGAUUUCGUUGAGUCCGAGGGAGUGGAGCAUAUCCAUGGUUUCCUUGUCCACCUCGAUGUGCUCGGUGUUGAUGGCGGAGAUUUCGGGAACGAAGUCCAUGCGUCGCUCACGCUCCUCCUCCUGCAGCUUGAGCGAGAUGCCGCGAACAGAACCCUUCUGGAUCC